rnacentral:rRNA from 1 species
GACGAACGCUGGCGGCGUGCCUAACACAUGCAAGUAGAACGCAGUUGCGAACGGGUGAGUAACGCGUAGGUAACUGCCUCAUAGCGGGGGAUUACCAUCGGAAACGAUAGCGAAUACCGCAUUCUGUGGGCUGGACCUGCGUUGUAUUAGCUAGUUGGGGAGGUAAAGGGUGACCAAGGCCACGAUACAUAGCCGACCUGAGAGGGUGAUCGGCCACAAUGGGAAUGGGACAAGGCCCCGACUCCCUCGGGGGGCAGCAGUAGGGGAUCUUCGGAAAUGGGCGGAAGUCUGACCGCGCAAAGCCGCGGGAGUUGAGAAGGUUUUCGGGUCUUAAAGCUCUGUUGUGAGAGAAGCGGUAACUAACCAGAAAGCGACGGCUAACUACGUGCCAGCAGCCGCGGUAAUUC